UAGGGAAUCUUCGGCAAUGGACGGAAGUCUGACUGAGCAACGCCGCGUGAGGGAAGAAGGUUUUCGGAUCGUAAAGCUCUGUUGUUAGAGAAGAACGUUGGUAGGAGCGGAAAAUCUACCAAGUGACGGUAACUAACCAGAAAGGGACGGCUCACUACGUGCCAGCAGCCGCGGUAAUACGUAGGUCCCGAGCGUUGUCCGGAUUUAUUGGGCGUAAAGCGAUCGCAGGCGGUUCUUUAAGUCUGAAGUUAAAGGCAGUGGCUUAACCAAUGUACGCUUUGUAAACUGGAGGACUUGAUUGCAGAAGGGGAGAGUGGAAUUCCAUGUGUAGCGGUGAAAUGCGUAGAUAUAUGGAGGAACACCGGUGGCAGAAGCGGCUCUCUGGUCUGUAUCUGACGCUGAGGCUCGAAAGCGUGGGGAGCAAACAGG
rnacentral:rRNA from 1 species